rnacentral:rRNA from 1 species
GUUAGGAAUAUUCGUCAAUGGGGGAAACCCUGAACGAGCAAUGCCGCGUGAACGAUGAAGGCCCUAUGGGUUGUAAAGUUCUGUUGUAUGGGAAGAAUUGCCAGGAUAGGAAAUGAUCUUGGUUUGACGGUACCAUACCAGAAAGCUCCGGCUAACUACGUGCCAGCAGCCGCGGUAAUACGUAGGGAGCGAGCGUUAUCCGGAUUUAUUGGGCGUAAAGGGUGCGUAGGCGGUUUAUUAAGUAUGAGAUUAAAGCCCGAGGCUUAACCUCGGUUCGUUUCAUAAACUGGUAGACUUGAGUGUGGCAGAGGUAAACGGAAUUUCUAGUGUAGCGGUUAAAUGCGUAGAUAUUAGAAGGAACACCAGUGGCGAAGGCGGUUUACUGGGCCAUAACUGACGCUGAGGCACGAAAGCGUGGGGAGCAAAUAGGA